rnacentral:rRNA from 1 species
AACGAACGCUGGCGGCAUGCCUAACACAUGCAAGUCGAACGAGACCUUCGGGUCUAGUGGCGCACGGGUGCGUAACGCGUGGGAACCUGCCCUUAGGGUCGGAAUAACUCCCCGAAAGGGGUGCUAAUACCGGAUAAUGUCUUCGGACGAAAGAUUUAUCGCCUUUGGAUGUGCCCGCGUUGGAUUAGCUAGUUGGUAGGGUAAAAGCCUACCAAGGCGACGAUCCAUAGCUGGUCUGAGAGGAUGAUCAGCCACACUGGGACUGAGACACGGCCAAGACUCCUACGGGAGGCAGCAGUGGGGAAUAUUGGACAAUGGGCGAAAGCCUGAUCCAGCAAUGCCGCGUGAGUGAUGAAGGCCUUAGGGUUGUAAAGCUCUUUUACCCGGGAUGAUAAUGACAGUACCGGGAGAAUAAGCUCCGGCUAACUCCGUG